GUCAAAGAUAUACACGUAUGUGCUAGGCUAAGCCGCCAUCUAGUGGAAGUAAAUCUGGCCGCCGCCAUCUUGGUUUCCUCGCGCACAACUAGAUGGCCUCGAUCACUUACAGACGCUUUCUCUCUAAGACAUCAUGCACAUUUUUAGAGAAUGUUCCCCUGACAAGGGAGAUCUCAGAGGUGAGUGGGACAAGAUAGAUUGUGUUUUAGCAUCUGAUUAAUGCUACCGACAGCUUCCAGCUGGCAUGCUAAUGCUACCGACAGCGUCCAGCUAACAUGCUAACGCUAACGGGCAUUUAGCAAAAGCAAAACAACUUGAUAAUAAUUAGAAAAUUUUAGAAAAAAACUUGACAGAAAUAUGCAGGUAAAGUAAGUAAACUUCUUUCUAAGCACAAUUUAGUUGGACUGGUCAGAAAAUACAAGUAAAAUGCACAAUUUUAGCUUAGCUGUAAAGUGACCAACCUCUCAGUCUGUUAGUUGGGUUGGAAAAAGAACUUUCUAGAUCUUUGCCCUAUUAGUAGCUAGGGGGAAUUCCAUGUCGCCAUGGUUAUAGCACCUGACCAAUUACAGACUGUAUCUGCCCAUGUUGUUGUCCUCACAUGCGCAUCAGUAAUUUUUAACUCACCAGAGCUUUUUGUUCUGCUGCAGCAAAGAAACUGGACCCACUUUAAACUGUUGCCUGAAUCUUUACUCAUGUUAAACGGGUUCAAUAAACAGGUUGUGUAGUGAAGUCGCCUCCAAUGACAUUGGAAAUGUGUGCUGGCAGCCUUCAAGCCUACAAGCCUAUCUUUGCACAAUUUUCCCCGAUUUUGACAACAAUGCACAGUUCUGCACUUCAUGUACAAAAAUUCCACCAUUUGAAACUCUGUUUCCGUGCAUGACCCCAGCACGUUCCUCAGGUCCUCAGGACCUUUAGCAUCAGAACCUACUGUACAUGAGAUCUGGAAGGCAGUCCACCAUUGAACAUGACAGCUCCACUUUUUAUCUUGGACUGUCCAAUCAACAUUCAGUGAAGACGUGUCUGAAGAUAGACCUGAAGGACAGAAAAAGUGAAGAUUCCUGCCAAUGGGCUGUCACAGGAACUGGAGAUUACCAGCAGCCGUCAGAAGCGUUUGAUCUUCAUGUCAUGCUCCUGGGCUGGCUUCACCAGCCUUUCUGUUUCCCUCACCAUGCCACGCCUCUGCUUUGGACCAUGCCCACUCCCUCGCCUUCCCUCAGUGAACUCCUGGCGAUCAGUCCAAUUUACCACACCUGUGCCUACCUUCAAAGACUCCCGCAGCCCGUCACUCGGCGCAGGGUCAUUGUCACUUCAUCUCUCCAUGCUGCUCAUGUCAUGUCAGCUGCUGCUUUUGAGUUUUUGUCUCCACUGCCUUCAUUGCAUCCACCAUUUCUCGUGUCACUACAGACAUGGACUAUUGAUGGAGACUGUUGCCGGUUAGUCACGCGUUGCUCGGAAUAUAAGACGUGUCUAUGGUUUAUGCUUUGGUUCUAUCCACGUUGUCCAUGUUAG
rnacentral:lncRNA from 1 species